AUCCUUUUGUGGUUCUUAAGUGUGGUGACUGGAUGUCCAUGCUGUUGUGUGAGAUAUGCCUCCCUUGAAAUGAUGUCAGCACAGUACCCAUCUGAUA
rfam:Tupaia chinensis contig103848, whole genome shotgun sequence.